rnacentral:rRNA from 1 species
GGUAUGGGAUGAGCUUGCGUCCGAUUAGCUAGUUGGCGGGGCAACGGCCCACCAAGGCGACGAUCGGUAGCCGGCCUGAGAGGGUGAUCGGCCACAUUGGGACUGAGAUACGGCCCAGACUCCUACGGGAGGCAGCAGUAGGGAAUAUUGCACAAUGGGGGAAACCCUGAUGCAGCAACGCCACGUGUGGGAAGAAGCAUUUCGGUGUGUAAACCACUGUCAUGAGGGAAUAAGGCCCGCCUUCGGACGGGAUUGAAUGUACCUUGAGAGGAAGCACCGGCAAACUUCGUGCCAGCAGCCGCGGUAAUACGAGGGGUGCAAGCGUUGUUCGGAAUUACUGGGCAUAAAGGGAGCGUAGGCGGAGAUUCAAGCGGAUUGUACAAUCCCGGGGCCCAACCCCGGCUCUGCAGUCCGAACUGGAUUUCUUGGAUAGUUCAGGGGCAGGC